CUACCAUGGCUUUCACGGGUAACGGAGGAUUAGGGUUCGAUUCCGGAGAGGGAGCCUGAGAAACGGCUACCACAUCUAAGGAAGGCAGCAGGCGCGUAAAUUACCCAAUACUGAUUCAGUGAGGUAGUGACAAGAAAUAGCGGGCCGGCUCAAUGCCGGGACUGAAAUGAGAAGAAUUUAACGACCUCUACGAGGAACAAUUGGAGGGCAAGUCUGGUGCCAGCAGCCGCGGUAAUUCCAGCUCCAAUAGCGUAUAUUAAAGUUGUUGCAGUUAAAAAGCUCGUAGUUGGAUUUCUGGCAGAGUGACUUCAACCAUCUGAUGAUUGGUGAAAGCGCUUUACCAUCCUUCGGUUAACCUUCACGGGAUUCACUUUCUGCGCUGGGGCUCCGAUAUUUUACCUUGAGAAAAUUAGAGUGUUUCAGGCAGGCUAUCGCCGGAAUACAUUGGCAUGGAAUAAUGGAAAAGGACUUCUACCUCUUCUGUUGGUCUGGGAGGCAGUAGUAAUGAUUAAUAGGGAUAGUUGGGGGCAUUAGUACUUAGCUGUCAGAGGUGAAAUUCUCCGAUUUGUUAAAGACUAACUUAUGCGAAAGCAUUUGCCAAGGAUGUUUUCAUUAAUCAA
rnacentral:rRNA from 1 species